rnacentral:rRNA from 1 species
GUCAACGACCAUACCAUGUUGAACACACCGGUUCUCGUCCGAUCACCGAAGUUAAGCAACAUCGGGCAUCAUGGCUAGUACUUAGGUGGGUGACCACUUGGGAAAACCAUGUGUCGUUGGCA